AACGCGAAGAACCUUACCUGGCCUUGACAUGCAUCUCUAAGCUGGUGAAAGCCAGUGAGUCUCGAAAGAGACAAUUUGCACAGGUGCUGCAUGGCUGUCGUCAGCUCGUGUCGUGAGAUGUUGGGUUAAGUCCCGCAACGAGCGCAACCCUUGUGAACUGUUGCCACCGAGCCGAGAGGCUCGAGCACUCUGUUCAGACUGCCCUGUGAAACGGGGAGGAAGGUGAGGACGACGUCAAGUCAGUAUGGCCCUUACGGCCAGGGCUGCACACGUACUACAAUGCCCAGUACAGAACGAUCCGAGACCGCAAGGUGGAGGAAAUCUAUCAAAACUGGGCCCAGUUCGGAUUGAAGUCUGCAAUUCGACUUCAUGAAGCCGGAAUCGCUAGUAAUGGCGCAUCAGCUACGGCGCCGUGAAUACGUUCCCGGGCCUUGUACACACCGCGAGC
rnacentral:rRNA from 1 species